rnacentral:rRNA from 1 species
AUUGAACGCUGGCGGCAGGCUAAACACCUGCAAGUCGAGCGGGGUGAUGGUGCUUGCACUAUCACUUAGCGGCGGACGGGUGAGUAAUGCUUAGGAAUCUGCCUAUUAGUGGGGGACAACAUCUCGAAAGGGAUGCUACUACCGCAUACGUCCUACGGGAGAAAGCAGGGGAUCACUUGUGACCUUGCGCUAAUAGAUGAGCCUAAGUCGGAUUAGCAAGUUGGUGGGGUAAAGGCCUACCAGGGCGACGAGCUGUAGCGGGUCUGAGAGGAUGAUCCGCCACACUGGGACUGAGACACGGCCCGGACUCCUACGGGAGGCAGCAGUGGGGAAUAUUGGACAAUGGGGGGAACCCUGAUCCAGCCAUGCCGCGUGUGUGAAGAAGGCCUUAUGGUUGUAAAGCACUUUAAGCGAGGAGGAGGCUCUUUUGGUUAAUACCCAAGAUGAGUGGACGUUACUCGCAGAAUAAGCACCGGCUAACUCUGUGCCAGCCGCCGCAGUAA